rnacentral:rRNA from 1 species
UACGUAGGGUGCGAGCGUUGUCCGGAAUUAUUGGGCGUAAAGAGCUCGUAGGCGGUCUGUCGCGUCUGCUGUGAAAACUCAGGGCUUAACCCUGAGCUUGCAGUGGGUACGGGCAGACUAGAGUGCGGUAGGGGAGACUGGAAUUCCUGGUGUAGCGGUGAAAUGCGCAGAUAUCAGGAGGAACACCGGUGGCGAAGGCGGGUCUCUGGGCCACUACUGACGCUGAGAAGCGAAAGCAUGGGGAGCGAACAGG